AGAGAGCAGAGUGGAGCCAGGGAAGGAGGGAAGUAACUGCUUCCCCAUUUACAUGGUUUGGCCUGCACUCCCAGCCAGGGACCCGAGGCGGGGGGAGGGGGAGGGGGGUGGGGGUUGCUGGGCUGCAGCCACCGCCUCCCCCAGCUGUGCACCCCCAGAUCACAACGAUCAGACCCUACCCUAACUAAGCAUCCUGGAAUUGAGCAAGAUGCCCUGAGCCUUCAGCCCCGCUCCCCCAGGGGCUGCAUUUUGCAAUAAGUCUUCGCCGGUGUCUCCCAGCUCUCUGGGCCCAAACCCCAGAAACAACAGCACAGCUGCGUACGCCCCCCACCCCGCUGGGCCCAGCUAUCCGGGGCGGGGGGGGCAUGCCCCCGCCCCCCAGGGGUAGGCCUCCUCACCACCCCGCACCAGGCCUGUAUGCAGGCGGACAGGGAGUUGUCAGCUCGACAACUGGACACUCCCAUACUGGGAAAAGCUAUGGGCUGAGCCUGCCAGGCACAGCUCCCCUUCCCUCUCCAGCCGAGUCCCCCCACCCUGCCUGCUCCAGGUGCCUCCGCAGAGCCCAGGCGAGGGACACAAGGACCGUAUCUCUUAAAGAGAAAAAACCGCACACAGGUCCUGCUGGAGAUGGGGCUUCAGAAGCUUGGGGAGUGUGCACAAAGUCCCAGCCGGGAGCCCGGCCUGGACAUGCAGACAUACACCAGCCCGCUCCACUGUCCAUUCCAUGCCCUUUCAGCCCAGGCUGUGGUACUACAGUCUUUCUGGCACAUUCCUUCAGUCCCGGUUCCCGUGAGGCUGCUCCUUCCCCGGGGGAUAGCCGAGUACCAGGUCUCCAUGUGACCUCAGCACUGGACUCCAGGACCGCUUUCUCCCUCCUCUGCCCCACCUGACCCCAUGUCCUUCCAAGGAGCAACCGAAUUUCUUCUGUGGAAGGGCCAGCACACGGGGGACGGCCCGGGGCAUCUACUGAAAGCUGAGGGGUUCGGGCCCCUCUACGAGGGUACCUCCUGCACAAGCCAGCCAGAUGGCCCGGUAAAGUCCUAGGAGCCGACCCAACAGCAAGGCCAGGCCAAUGGGGACCCAAGUUCGGAGCAAGUUAUGUCCCGCUGACCCCUCCCAAGGCUGGGCAUAUGCUGGCACACUUCACUUAAGUGCUUAUACUGACCCCUCCAAGUGUUCCUUAUGGACAGCACGACGGUCAGGCCACAAAUGCUGGAAUCAGACCUGGGUUCAAAUCCCACCUCUGCCACGUAACAGCUGCGUGACCUUGGGCAAGCUGCUUGCCCUCCAGGGCCUCAGAUUUCUCACUCGCUAAACAGACUGGAUAUACUCCCAUCUGAAAGGAGCUGCGAGAGGCGGGGCAACAGUGAGGGCUCCACUGACAGCAGCCCCUCUUCGAGAGUCAAGAGUAGAGGCCGGGAGGCCACCCCAGGACUUAAGAGCCCACAAGGGGUCACGCCGCGGCCAACCAAAGCCCUGUUGUGCCAGCAAACCGAGGAGCCCAUGGUGCACCAAAGCCAGCCACACACCAAGCCGUGCCGAGGAGCACCACACCGCAGAGCCCAGGCCGCCUGGAGCCAUCCAAACAGGUCAGGCCCUUCAACCACAUCUCUCCCAUUUCCCAAACUCCUAUUUCGCAGCUGGCCGGCCGGCCAAGAUUCACACCCACUGCAUGCCAGUCCCUGUGAGGGUGAGAGGGCACGUGGUGACAGCUGAACGUGAGUCUGACCUUGAGAAGCUAGGGGGCCUGGUAGGAGAGGUAGACAGAGGCUCGGGAGUAUUAGUAAGCCCCAUUCGAGCUGCCAAAGACCCUUUUCUGUGGAUUCCUGUCCCAGCAAAGUCAGUACCUCAGACUGUGAUCUUUCCCAUUCAUUUCCAGAAAUGUUGUGUGUGACACACAGCCACAGUGGGGGUUGCUCCACAAGGACCCCUCAGGAAGGAAGACAUCCCCUCCUUCCCAGCUGGUUACCUCCCUCAGCCAGGUUGCCAGGAUCCCUGCUUCCCCUGAGAGGGAGUUUCUGGCUUCCUGGGGCUAGUGCAGCUAUAACAUGCAGGAACCUUGACACACAGAGACCAGGGAUUCCGGAGAAACGUGAAUGCCCAGAGCAAUGCAAGUAGGGAUGUAUGACAGAGAGGUAGUGCCUGCCUGCCGCACAGGCUUGCGGGGAAGGGGUGUGGGAAGGGAGAGGCCCAAAGAGAAGGAAUGAGGAAGAGGGAGGUCACACGCUUGGCAAAGGCCAAGGGGUGGGCAGCCCUCAGGAGAGGGGGCCUGUGUGUGCACGGGAAGGGGUGUGAGGGAUGGGGAGAAGGGUGAACAGUCUGGGCAGCUUGGAGCUCUAGGCAAGGGAGGCAGCAAAGCAGGGUGGAAGCCCCAGCCCCUACCCUCCACCCCUGUCCUGCCAAAACAGGGUGGGAUCCAGCACAAUCGCAGCCUCGGCUCCAGCUGAAUGCCCUGGACUUGUUCAAGGCAACGAGGCCGGAACAGCCAGACAGCCUCGUCUCCCACCCCCUCUACACACAACCAGGGGCUCUUUACCGGCCUUGGAUCUGAUGCUGGCUCUCCUGUGCUCGAAUCCUCCAACAGCCUUCCUUGCAAGCACAAUACAAUCCCUCCACCAUGCA